AAACUGACCUGGCAAAGGAGGUACCAUGAUCAUGCAAGUGGUUUUCCGAGGGUGAGACUCAUUCAUUGCACUUGGGAUAUGUUGACCCCUGAGAUUUCCCCAGUUGUGGGAAACUCAACUGCAUAAUUUUUGGUGGUGUGUGUGAGGAGGCUGCGUUCAUGCUGUCUCCUG
ensembl:snRNA U1 U1 spliceosomal RNA